rnacentral:rRNA from 1 species
AGAGAAUUGACGGGGCCCUGCACAAGCGGUGGAGCACGUGGUUUAAUUCGGACGAUAAGCGAAGAACCUUACCUGGGCUUGACAUACUAGCAGUAGGAGCCAGAGAUGGUAACGACCCCUACUUUUGGUAGGGGAACUAGUACAGGUGAUGCAUGGCUGUCGUCAGCUCGUGUCGUGGGACGUUGGGUUAAGUCCCGAAACGAGCGCAACCCCUGUUGUUAGUUGCCAGCGGGUAAUGCCGGGGACUCUAACAAGACUGCUGGUGAAUAGCCGGAGGAAGGAGGGGAUGACGUCAAGUCAUCAUGUCCCUUAUGUCCAGGGCGACACACAUGCUACAAUGGGAGGUACAAAGGGCUGCUAAACCGUAAGGUCAUGCGAAUCCCAGAGAGCCUUCCUUAGUUCGGAUUGAGGUCUGCAACCCGACCUCAUGAAGCCGGAAUCGCUAGUAAUCGCAGGUCAGCCACACUGCGGUGAAUAUGUACUCAGGGCUUGUACACACCGCCCGUCGCA